GAAAUCCCAUUUUAGGUGGUGCGCCAGUAAAUUUCCCCGCACGGUGCGAGUCCACAAAGUCAAGCGGGCACCUUACGGCGCCAGCGUAGUUUCUCGGGCUCCGGCCUGGGUCUGCGAGCCUCAACAGGGUGGCUCGUGACGCGGGGUCGGGGUCCGAACCCUGAAGGCUAGCGACACUUUACUGGGCCUGUGCGCCCCCUCGCGGCCGCUGGGGUCAGUGGCCGGGUGCGGGUGGAUGGGGCUUUGAGCACUGGCCCCGAGUGCCCGCAGCGGGUGUGGCCGGCUUAGCUCUCGCCUUGAGCGAGAAUCAGGAGGUCCGGAAGGUCAGCGAAACUCUGUCAUCCCGGGAGAGGAAGCGUCCGCGCAGGAUCUAAGAGCACUGCACUAGGCCACGCCCACGCCGUCCGCCCCACUCCUGCGCAGGCGUCACCAGCCGUGCGGCGCCAUUGCUUUCCCUCGCCAGGCCCGAGCGUCCAGUCGGAAGUCCAUCGGACGGAGGGAACGCGGAGCACGACACCUCGACGACGGCGGCCUGGCGCUGCAGAUGCAGUCUGGUGAGGGCUGCGUGCCCGCUUAGGCCUGGCUGACGAGUAAGGAACUACAACUCCCAAGGACACUGGGAUAUAGCAGUGUGAGGAGGAAAAGGAGGAGGGAAGUGGGUCUCCGGGACCCUGAAAGGAUCUGAGGCAAAAAUUGAAGUCUACAGGAUGAGUGAAGAGAGAGACUUUAAUGAAGAAGAGGGAGGUACCAAGCAGCACUCUCUCCCAGAGCCCAGACUCUUUGUGAAGGAACAGAGGGCUGAACCUCAGAUGCAUAGUGACUACUGAUGACCUCAGAGGCCUCCACAGAGAAAUGCACCAAUGGAAUGGAGGAGUGGACAAAUUGGACUACAGCUGCAGAUAGAAACAACAGGCUGCCUCUUAUCUCUCAAGAAUGAUACACCCAGGCCUGCAAGUCCUGUUCCCAGAAGGUGUCCUCAAGUUACAGAAGCCAGGCCACCCUGCAGCGUCAAAGGCCAUCCUGCAGCGUCAGCGUUUCCUGCUGCAAGGGUGUGAGGGAGUGGCAUGUCUAAGCAUUUUGCUUUCUGCACCCUUUAUGAACAGGAAGGUCUUCCUCUCUGUUCUGGAUGAGGUCAGAGGUAUUAUUAGGUAUUGUCUGGAAGGAAGGCAGGUGAAAAAGUGGCCAGAACUCCACCUCUCGCAGCAACAGUAACCCGAUUUAGUGCAGCGGAGGUCAGAGCAAUACUUUCUGUGUCCACCCCAAUCAUAAGUUGGCCAAGCCAGCUGGAGGGUCCACAAGUGUUCACAGCAGCAAAGUCUCUACCUUAAACUGGAGAGGGGAGCAAAGCUCUUGAUAUCUGGGCUGUUUGGGACUCACACUUGAGGGGACAUAUAAGGACAUUAAAACCCUCUGUCGGGUGGUCUGGCUCAUGUGGUCCUGGAAUGUCCAUGUGAUGGGAACAAGGAAGUCCGGGCCAAGAGAGCAAUCUUCUCAGAUUCAGGGAGGCCCUAAGGUAGUUGACUGACCACAAAAGGAAUGAGCAAAUAUCAAUAAUUUCUGAUGUCCAUGAAUGAUGAGUUACUUAAUAUAACAAAAAGAAAGAUCCCAACCAGGAUAAAUCCCAAAAAUAUAAAAUAUCUAGGAUCAGGCAUAAUUAAAAGUCCAUAGGGUUCCUGAAAAAAGACCUACAAACUAUUCUGAGUUGCUAAAACUAGAGAAUGAAAGGAUGAUGGGGCAUAGAAUAUGUACACAACAGGCUCAACAUACCUUUUUGUGAUUACUGAUUAAUUAAAGAUGAGGAAGUAGUAAAUCUACAGGUGUGCCUCCACCCACAGCUAUAAUGUGUUCUCAUCUGCACUCACUUCCUCAAGGGUCUAGCCCUGUCUGACUACCUAUAAUAUCUCUAAUUUAGCUGUCUAUAAUAAUCCUCCUGCCUCAGCCUCUUGAUUGUAUGUGCCACCAGGCUCGGCUUUCUGCCUAAGAUUAAAGGAGACUAAAGAUUUAAGGUAAUGGCUGGGGAUGUAGCUCAGUAGCACCACACCCGGUUCUGAGUUCAAUCCCUGGAAGCGGGGGAAAGGGGGAUAAAAACAAAAACUGGAUGUAAGAUUCAAGGUAGUGUGUGACUGGGACAGUGAUGGGACCUGUACGCCACAGAUCUUCAAGGCAUCCAUGGGUAGAAUUCAGGGGACACAAUAAACUUGGACGGGUUAAAAAUUUGCAUUUUCUUUUCCACUAAUCACUAACUGAAAUUGCCAUUUCCAUCCUUCCUUCCUUGCUUUCUCCUCUUCCUUCUUCGUUUUCAAAAUGUUUGAAGCUUGAUGACGGACAAUUGGCACAUGAUGAGCUACUGAAAGGGUAAAUAGAAGGGUUGUUACUCCCUCACCCCAGGAUGUCACCUUGAAAACAGCAUAAGGCCAGGCUGUUUCAUCAGGAAUUACAGGAACCUCAUCUCUGGACUUUCCACUGCUGGGUCACAGCCUUCCAUCCCUAGAACUCUACUCAUGAUCGGUUAGGGUUAACUCUGGAGUCUUGUGAAGAGGAUGGAGACUAUCACAAGAUCAUUUGUCUCCAAGGAGACAAGAAAAGUUUCAUUUGUCUGUCUUCAACUUUACUGAAUAAAAUAUGUGAAAUCCUUCCUAGA